rnacentral:rRNA from 1 species
UGGGGAAUUUUGGACAAUGGGCGCAAGCCUGAUCCAGCCAUGCCGCGUGCGGGAAGAAGGCCUUCGGGUUGUAAACCGCUUUUGUCAGGGAAGAAAUCUUCUGAGUUAAUACCUCGGGAGGAUGACGGUACCUGAAGAAUAAGCACCGGCUAACUACGUGCCAGCAGCCGCGGUAAUACGUAGGGUGCAAGCGUUAAUCGGAAUUACUGGGCGUAAAGCGUGCGCAGGCGGUUUUGUAAGACAGAGGUGAAAUCCCCGGGCUCAACCUGGGAACUGCCUUUGUGACUGCAAGGCUUGAGUGCGGCAGAGGGGGAUGGAAUUCCGCGUGUAGCAGUGAAAUGCGUAGAUAUGCGGAGGAACACCGAUGGCGAAGGCAAUCCCCUGGGCCUGCACUGACGCUCAUGCACGAAAGCGUGGGGAGCAAACAGGAUUAGAUAGCCCUGGUAGUCCACGCCCUAAACGAUGUCAACUGGUUGUUGGGAAGGUUCCUUCUCAGUAACGUAGCUAACGCGUGAAGUUGACCGCCUGGGG